CACCUUUGAUAAGAGCAAUCAAUAGCUGGGACCUGGUGCAGGUUCAUAGGAAGGUCAGGCAUGCAAGUAGAGUGUAGAUAAAGCAGGCACUAGUCAAGCAGGGACUGAACAGAGAGCAAGAGAACAGCUGCCUUGAGUGGACUGACCACAAAGCAGGGCACAGGCUGACCUGGCUUUUGCCAAGACCAGCAUCUAUGAAGAGCUUGCAGAAGAUGUAGGCAGGGCACAGCCCUCACACCUUUCUUGUAGAAGAGAGAAUACUUCAUGCUGGGGCUCCUGGGUGGAGGUAGGAGAGCUCUGCCCCCAUCAGCCGCGCCUUAGCUGCUGUAGGAACCGACAAGUUUUAUUUUUAUUUAGUUUUAAUUGA
rnacentral:lncRNA from 1 species